CAGAUCACUGGCGCACGGGUGAGUAACGCGUAAGUAAUCUGCCCUUGGGUCUGGCAUAACUUCGGGAAACCGGGGCUAAUUCCAGAUGAUAUCGAAAGAUCAAAGUCUUCGGAUGCCCAAGGAUGAGCUUGCGUCUGAUUAGCUAGUUGGCGGGGUAACAGCCCACCAAGGCUACGAUCAGUAGCCGGUCUGAGAGGAUGAUCGGCCACAUUGGGACUGAGACACGGCCCAGACUCCUACGGGAGGCAGCAGUAAGGAAUAUUGCGCAAUGGACGAAAGUCUGACGCAGCAACGCCGCGUGCAGGAUGAAGGCCCUCUGGGUUGUAAACUGCUGUAGCGGGGGACUACAAGCCGCCUCAGGCGGAAUAGAAUGUACCCCGAAAGUAAGCGCCGGCUAACUACGUGCCAGCAGCCGCGGUAAUACGUAGGGCGCAAGCGUUGUCCGGAUUCACUGGGUGUAAAGGGUGCGCAGGCGGAUUCGUUAGUCAGAGGUGAAAUCUUACGGCUUAACCGUGAAACUGCCUUUGAUACUGCGGAUCUUGAGUUUGGGAGAGGUUGAUGGAAUUCCAGGUGUAGCGGUGAAAUGCGUAGAUAUCUGGAAGAACACCAGUGGCGAAGGCGGUCAACUGGCCCAUAACUGACGCUCAUGCACGAAAGCGUGGGAUCA
rnacentral:rRNA from 1 species